rnacentral:rRNA from 1 species
CACCGGCGGCUCGAGUGGUAACCGCUAUUAUUGGGUCUAAAGGGUCUGUAGCCGGCUGAAAAAGUCUCUUGGGAAAUCUGGCCGCUCAACUGUCAGGCUGUCAGGAGAUACUCUUCAGCUCGAGACCGGGAGAGGUGAGAGGUACUUCAUGGGUAGGGGUGAAAUCUUGUAAUCCUUGAAGGACCACCAGUGGCGAAGGCGUCUCACCAGAACGGAUCUGACGGCAAGGGACGAAAGCUAGGGGCACGAA